rnacentral:rRNA from 1 species
UACGGAGGGUGCGAGCGUUAAUCGGAAUUACUGGGCGUAAAGCGCGCGUAGGCGGUUUGUUAAGUCAGCUGUGAAAGCCCUGGGCUCAACCUGGGAACUGCAGUUGAUACUGGCCGACUAGAGUACGAGAGAGGGAGGUAGAAUUCCAUGUGUAGCGGUGAAAUGCGUAGAUAUAUGGAGGAAUACCGGUGGCGAAGGCGGCCUCCUGGCUCGAUACUGACGCUGAGGUGCGAAAGCGUGGGGAUCAAACAGG